AGCACAUACUCCUCAAUUCUGUUGGCAGCCAUCCUGCGACCAUGAGGAAAGCCAACUUCAAAAUGAUAUUUUGAAUAAUCAAAAUAAUCAAGCAAAGAGUCAGAAAGAUACUAGAUUGUUGAUGAUUUACUGCAACGAGACACUGGAUCAAUCAAUAUCUUGAAAUCUGUCUUAAUCUCUGAAUUCUAGUUGGUCUACACUCCAUCCUCAGGACACCAAGAUCAAGCCCAGAGCAGUUGCCCACUCUUCCUUGCCAAUGCGGAGGAAGCCCUGGAACCCCAACAUUGUGCUCCAGCCCAGGCUCCAUCCUUGGGGCACCCCCAUUCUCUCAACAUGGAGCACCGAACAAUCCUAACCAGAUGCAAAAAUCAAUGGCAGAAGAAAACAGA